AGGGUUUGAUCCUGGCUCAGAACGAAUGCUGGCGGCGUGGAUUAGGCAUGCAAGUCGAACGAGAAAGGAGUCUUCGGAUUCCGAGUAUAGUGGCGAAAGGGUGAGUAAACUAUAAACAAUCUACCUUCAAGAUCGGGACAACAGUUGGAAACGACUGCUAAUACCGAAUAAUAUAACAAUUCGCAUGUUUUGUUAUCAAUGGUUGAGGAUCCUUCGGGACUUUUCGCUUGAAGAGGAGUUUAUGGCCUAUUAGCUAGUUGGUGAGGUAACGGCUCACCAAGGCAAUGAUGGGUAGCCGGUCUUAGAGGACGAUCGGUCACACCGGAACUGAGACACUGUCCGGGCACCUACGGGUGGCUGCAGUCGAGAAUCUUCCGCAAUGGGCGCAAGCCUGACGGAGCGACGCCGCGUGCAGGAUGAAGGCCUUAGGGUUGUAAACUGCUGUCAGAAAGAGAGAAGUGUUAUUGUGUUAAUACCAUAGUAAUUUGACAAUCUUUCAGAGGAAGCCCUGGCUAAAUUCGUGCCAGCAGCCGCGGUAAUACGAAUGGGGCAAGCAUUGUUCGGAUUUACUGGGUUUAAAGGGUAUGUAGGCGGUUUUUCAAGUCUGUUUGUGAAAUCCUGGGGCUCAACCCCAGAAUAGCAUCGGAAACUGGAUCACUUGAGUAUGUAGGAGGAGAGAGGAAUUCUAGGUGUAGCGGUGAAAUGCGUAGAGAUCUAGGAGAAGACCAGAGGCGAAGGCGUCUCUCUAUUACAAUACUGACGCUGAGAUACGAAGGCUAGGGUAGCGAACGGGAUUAGAUACCCCGGUAGUCCUAGCAGUAAACGAUGUGCAUUUUGUCGGUGGAAGUUCGAUCUUCUGCCUGCCGAAGCGAAAGCGUUAAAUGCACCACCUGGGGAGUACGAUCGCAAGAUUAAAACUCAAAGGAAUUGACGGGGGCUUGCACAAGCGGUGGAGGAUGUGGUUUAAUUUGAUGAUACGCGGAGAACCUUACCUGGGUUUGACAUUCUAGGAUUAACUCUAUGAAAGUAGAGGGAUUUUCCUCACGGAAGUAACUAGAACAGGUGUUGCAUGGCUGUCGUCAGCUUGUGUCGUGAGAUGUCGGGUUAAGUCCCUUAACGAGCGAAACCCUCAUGUUUAGUUGCCAGCGAGUAAUGUCGGGAACCCUAAACAAACUGCCGUGCAUAACACGGAGGAAGGAGAGGAUGACGUCAAGUCAUCAUGGCCCUUACACCCAGGGCUACACACGUCCUACAAUGGCAUAUACAAUGAGAUGCAAUAUUGCGAGAUGGAGCAAAUCUAUAAAGUAUGCCUUAGUUCGGAUUGCAGGCUGCAACUCGCCUGCAUGAAGUCGGAAUCGCUAGUAAUCGCAGAUCAGCUUGCUGCGGUGAAUAUGUUCCCAAGCCUUGUACACACCGCCCGUCAAGCCACGGGAGCUGGGGGUACCCGAAGUCAUUAGUCUAACUGCUUGCAGAGGACGAUGCCGAAGGUAAAACCGGUAACUGGGACUAAGUCGUAACAAGGUA
rnacentral:rRNA from 1 species